rnacentral:misc_RNA from 1 species
CAGAGGUAUGUACAAAACUGCAGAUAACGCAAUGCAAAAUCAGCAGGCACAGAAAAGACCCCUAUACAUACAUUGAUGCUAGUCCCCCUAUAUCGUUAGAUGCCUAAACAGGCAACUUUUAAAAUUGUAAUAUAAUAUCCCAGGUCUGGAAUGAAAGUACAGGCAUUCUAAAACGGAAGGAAUUAACAACAUAUUGCAGAAAAAUCAAAUAAUAAUAAGGAAAAUGAUAAUUCAAUGGGAGCAGCCCAAGCAGAGGUUGCUUCAAUAUGAGACAGAAUCCUAAAAUCAGAACAUAAAAGUGAAGCAAAAGAAAAGGUCAAAACAUUCUUGUAGGGAAGUUCUUAAAGAAAGUUGCACAGCUGGACAAGAAAGCAUUAGAUGGCGAAAAGAGGUAACAUUUUGUCAGAUGCCAAAUUAAAACUCAUCAUCAUCCUCCUCGGCUAUGUGCUUUGCAAGCUCCUGCUCUUGCUGUUGUCUCUCCCUUCUCUUCUCAGCACUUUCUUUCUCCUUGUGGGAAUUUGGCGGAAACCUAAGUGCGCGAACUGCCUCAUUAUGCAUAUUGAGGCAGAAAGCAAUCCUCGAGUUAAACGCAAUUUGAGGCUCAUUUGUUGAAUAGAUAUCUCCUGUUUCCUUUGAUACCAUCCACCCAUUAGCAUGAUCAAUAGUUGCAUCAAUUGCACCAUCUCGUAUUGCCUUGGCUACAAUACUCUCAGCAUCAGCAACAGGGUUUGCAGUGUCCAACCUUAACUUCUUGGCCACAUCAGCUAGUGAAAUUCGAGAAUAAGAAAUACUGAUGUUGCGAAGUCCAGUCCUUAUGACGUUGUGCCGCAGUCUAACAAUUAAAUUAUGAGUCCUGUCUGAACUGAAAGUGGUUGAGAACUUCUCUGCAACAGAUUUAAAGAGCUCCAAAUCACCUAUCCGAACGGCCUGAAAACCCACAAGCCAGUUAAAAUACUAUUAGUCAUCACCAAGACAAAUAUUUCAAAGAUAAGUAACAGCAAACCUUCUUUAGCACGGUUCCAUGUAGCAUGGUGAUUGCCAUAAGAAAUCAAGACACAAGUUCUCAACCACCAACCCACCACAUAAAACUUGAAUCUCAAAUUUUCUAACCUUGCUUUCAAUAGAUAAAGUAAAUCAAACAAGUCAAUUUGAUAAGCCUAGACUCACAUUUGUCAAUUCAAAGUAUGGCCUUAAAGCAUUUUCCAUCCCUUUCUGCAUAAAAACAGUCCUCUCAGGAAUUUCUCCCAACAAUAAUCUGACAAUAAUUGCCCAUUUAUUGCAUUGAACUCGAAAACCAAGCGCAGCAACAGGCGCUUUCCGAGCAGCUUGAAGGAGGGACUCUUUUGCAUCAGUGUACUCCAACUGAAUUGUCCUAAUCUUUCCCAGGUAAAACAGGUACCGACAGAACUGCUGAUUUGAGUGAGCUUCAAAUCGUGGGGCCUUUGACCUCAGCUUCUCUGCUUGAUCAUAUAAAUUGUAGUGGAGGUAAUUGCGGAGUAGCAGGUUGAGAAGUGUUUCCUGGCCAAGUUCAUCAUGGCGCAAUGUUGCAAUGCGGUGAAGAGCAAGGAGGUUACCUCUGAUUUCAGCAAGAUCGCCGGUGAGUUCAUAGCUAAGAGAGUAAUAAAAGUAGAGCCUGGAUGCCAGAACAUCAACAGUCCUCCUAUUCAGAUUCUUCAGCCGGGCCACACUCGCUGAUGAACAAGCUUUAGCCUCAUUAUAUUUCUUCUGAUCAAUCAGAUAUAUUAGCACCAGCAAGUAGCAGUAUAUCUCCAGCUCUGGUAAGGGGUGUUUCACAGGAGUUUGAGUCACAGAUGUUGCAGUGUCAACCUCCAUUUCAUGUUCAUCCUCCUUGGGAAGAUAGGAGGCUAGCCGAUUAUGAGGUUCGGAUCCCGGAGUAAGAGCGAAAUUGAGGAAGGCAGAGAGCACCUGAGCCUUGAGCUUUCGCCUUAAGGCCAUUGUCAGGCGCACAGCACGCACUAUCCGCCGCACCUCCCUGGCAUAGGCACCGGUCUCAAUCAGGGAAGCAAUCUCCUUCAAAUGGUGGAGGGUUGAAGGGGAAGAGGAUGCGGUGGAGUUGGAGGGAGCUGGGACCUCUUUCAUCUCGACGUCUUGAGUCAUAUUGAAGGCUUGAAUAGAGAGAGAGUUGAUCCGGCCACUGUCGAAGAAGGGAGGGCUUAUGCACUGCACAUCUACUUUUCUUUCCCUGCAAGUCUAGCUAAGAAGGCAACUAGACAAGGGGAAACAAAG